UGUUAAGGAUGCAGGGACCAAACAGGAGGGC
rnacentral:piRNA from 1 species